GUUCCUGGCUCAGGAUGAACGCUGGCGGCGUGCUUAACACAUGCAAGUCGAACGAAGCACUUAAGAUUGAUUCUUCGGAUGAUUUCUUUUGUGACUUAGUGGCGGACGGGUGAGUAACGCGUGGGUAACCUGCCUCACACAGGGGGAUAACAGUUAGAAAUGACUGCUAAUACCGCAUAACCCGAUAGGAUCGCAUGAUCCAGACGGAAAAGAUUUAUCGGUGUGAGAUGGACCCGCGU
rnacentral:rRNA from 1 species